CCCGCAGCCCCGCUCCCCUCCUGGCCCCGGGGUUUGUGCCGGGUGCCCCGGUCGGGCCUUGGGCACCUCCACAAGUCGCUGGGAAUGGCUGCUGACACUGCUGCUCAAGGCCGCUACAGCACCCUGCGCCUCCCGCCUCUGCUGCGUUGUGCGGGCACCUUCGGGCUCGGCCCCGGAGCCAGAGCACCUUAUGGCCUGCUAACACAGCCACACACGCAAACAGAGAGAGGACAUCAGCGUCCACCACCUUCACCCUGCAGCCCCGGAAUGACCUCCAAACAACUGGGAGCAGCUCCCAGCAGCCUGGGGCCAGCAGGCUCUCCAGGCUGGCUUUGUGAGCACGGCCAGGACUGGCAUCAUGGAAACCCCUGGGAAGCUGAGGCCGAUGGAAGCAGUGAGAUCAUACACAGGGUGAGAGUGUCGGACACAGCUUCUGCUUUAAAUGAUGGAAUGCACCAGCAGGAGGGAGAGGAGUAG
rnacentral:lncRNA from 1 species